rnacentral:misc_RNA from 1 species
AUACAGCGUACAACGCGCUACCUCCCCUGCACCAGUGUCCACGCACACACACACACACACACACACGCGUGUGCGCGUGUAUUGACGUUACAACCAAAACACCACACACCCGCGCACGCUUUCCCAUCUUGCUUUCUUCCCUUUGGGUGUGCGUUUGUGUGUGUGUUGAUUUCCUUCUGCACAGCCAUCAGCUGCCGCUCGCGUGCGUGCAGAGCGGACGUGCUUCACGAGCUCGCACACGCCCCUCAACCCAUCCCACCGGUGUAGACGCCCUCUUUCUCUUUCUCUCUCCCCCUUUUCUUUCGUUCGAAGGCUAGCUACCACUCUCGCCUCAUCAUGGCCGCCGCAACAAACAGCAACUCUAAGUUCUUUGUGCCGGAGCUGACGCAGGAAGACGUGCCGGGGGGCGCGUGCUGCGUGGAUGAAACAACGUUUGCCACACUCUUCCCGUCCUACUUGGAGAGCUAUAUCAAGAGCAUCUGGCCCGCGGUGGAGGAGCUGCUCGGGCAGCAUCAGCUCGUCGGCAAGCUCGAUCUGCUGGAGGGCAGCAUGACGGUGGCGACGACACGCCGCACCUGGGACCCGUACGCGAUCAUCGACGCCCGCGACUUCAUCAAGCUGCUUGCCCGUAACGUCCCUCUUGCCCAGGCGCAGAAGAUCUUUCAGACCGACAUCACGUGUGAUAUUAUCAACAUCUCCGUCAAGGGCGGCAGCGUGCGGCGCUUUGUGAAGCGACGCGAUCGCUUGAUCGGACCACAGGCGCAGACCCUGAAAGCACUAGAAAUUCUAACCGGAUGCUACGUCCUCGUGCAGGGUAAAACGGUUGCGGUGAUGGGCCCCGUGAAGGGGACGCAGAUGGUCCGGAGCAUCGUCGAGGACUGCAUGAAUAACAUUCACCCCAUCUAUGGCCUGAAACAGCUGUUGAUCAAGCGCGAGCUGAGCAAGCGCGAGGACAUGAAGCACGAGGACUGGUCCCGUUUCAUUCCCGUCUACAAGAAGACGCAGCCGAACAAGGAGAAGCAGAAGGCCGUGCGCAAGAUGAAGAAGGAGCGGAUGAAGGAGGCGAAACGGAAGCAGGCCGUCAAGGAGAAGAGCAUCUUCCCACCGGCCCCGCCAAAGCGUCUGGAGGAUAUCGCGAUGGAAAGCGGACAGGCCUUCCUCGCCCCGCGUCAGCGCCGCCACACGGACGAGUUAGAGCUGCAAAGUGCUACAUCGCCAUCCCCGUCGGCCUCUGCGCGCACCCGCAACAGCAAGGGCAGCAGCAGCAAGAGGGAUGCGCCAGCCUCCAAGAUCAAAAAGUAACCGCGGCGCUUGCUGCCUUUUCUGCUGCCUUUCAGUGGUUUCGUGCUGACGGCGGUGACUGUAAAACGAGUCGUCCGCUGCCGCUGACGAGAUCGUGUUUGUGUGUGUGGGUGUGGGCGUUCGGUUCUUGCUUCUCUCGUUUAAGCCACUCCCUCCCUUUCUUCCAUCCCUGCCACGGCAGCGGUAAGU